CCCCCGNAGACGAACGCUGGCGGCGUGCCUAAUACAUGCAAGUCGAACGCUUCUUUCCUCCCGAGUGCUUGCACUCAAUUGGAAAGAGGAGUGGCGGACGGGUGAGUAACACGUGGGUAACCUACCCAUCAGAGGGGGAUAACACUUGGAAACAGGUGCUAAUACCGCAUAACAGUUUAUGCCGCAUGGCAUAAGAGUGAAAGGCGCUUUCGGGUGUCGCUGAUGGAUGGACCCGCGGUGCAUUAGCUAGUUGGUGAGGUAACGGCUCACCAAGGCCACGAUGCAUAGCCGACCUGAGAGGGUGAUCGGCCACACUGGGACUGAGACACGGCCCAGACUCCUACGGGAGGCAGCAGUAGGGAAUCUUCGGCAAUGGACGAAAGUCUGACCGAGCAACGCCGCGUGAGUGAAGAAGGUUUUCGGAUCGUAAAACUCUGUUGUUAGAGAAGAACAAGGACGUUAGUAACUGAACGUCCCCUGACGGUAUCUAACCAGAAAGCCACGGCUAACUACGUGCCAGCAGCCGCGGUAAUACGUAGGUGGCAAGCGUUGUCCGGAUUUAUUGGGCGUAAAGCGAGCGCAGGCGGUUUCUUAAGUCUGAUGUGAAAGCCCCCGGCUCAACCGGGGAGGGUCAUUGGAAACUGGGAGACUUGAGUGCAGAAGAGGAG
rnacentral:rRNA from 1 species